GACGAACGCUGGCGGCGUGCCUAAUACAUGCAAGUAGAACGCUGAAGAGAGGAGCUUGCUCUUCUUGGAUGAGUUGCGAACGGGUGAGUAACGCGUAGGUAACCUGCCUGGUAGCGGGGGAUAACUAUUGGAAACGAUAGCUAAUACCGCAUAAAAUUGAUUAUUGCAUGAUAAUUAAUUGAAAGAUGCAAUUGCAUCACUACCAGAUGGACCUGCGUUGUACUAGCUAGUUGGUGAGGUAACGGCUCACCAAGGCGACGAUACAUAGCCGACCUGAGAGGGUGAUCGGCCACACUGGGACUGAGACACGGCCCAGACUCCUACGGGAGGCAGCAGUAGGGAAUCUUCGGCAAUGGGGGGAACCCUGACCGAGCAACGCCGCGUGAGUGAAGAAGGUUUUCGGAUCGUAAAGCUCUGUUGUAAGAGAAGAACGGGUGUGAGAGUGGAAAGUUCACACUGUGACGUAUCUACCA
rnacentral:rRNA from 1 species